GACGGAGGAUGCAAGUGUUAUCCGGAAUCACUGGGCGUAAAGCGUCUGUAGGUCGUUUAAAAAGUCUACUGUUAAAAAUUGAAGCUUAACUUCAAAGAUGCCGUAGAAACUUUUAAACUUGAGUAUGGUAGGGGUAGAGGGAAUUUCCAGUGGAGCGGUGAAAUGCGUAGAUAUCAAGAGGAACACCUGCGGCGAAGGCGGGUUGCUGGGCCGACACUGACGCUGAGGCGCGAAAGCCAGGGGAGCGAACGGG
rnacentral:rRNA from 1 species